GUAUAUAAAUGCGUUAUACGCAAGUAAACAUUCUAUAACUGAAGCGUUUGUAGUAAAACAUAAGCAGGCUUCCAGCUCUUGCGAGCCUUCCACCGACCUACAAUAAGUGCACAGAGGUUGAGAGUGGAUGAGCAGAGUGUGCACAUGCCUCGUGAAAGGCCAGCGACAACCCCUUUCAAAACUCGUUAAUGAUCCUUCCGCAGGUUCACCUACGGAAA
rnacentral:misc_RNA from 1 species